GUGGUAUAUCUUUAUAAAUGGCUUGAAUCUGUGACUUAGGGAAUGGGCACUCUACAAUAUCACAGUAAUCAAAAGUGAAUGUAGCCACAUGGGUACAUGAUGAAUUAUACCAGAAGGUGUACCCACUAGCAUCUUUGGUGAUGGCCACCUGCUGGGCUUUAAGGAGGCCAACUAAGGAGAUAAUGUACCAGAGGCACAUGGUUGCAUAGGGUUAGCUUCCUCUGGGGCAGGUGUCUUCUUGCAAUGGGAAGCGUGGAUCCAGUUAGGCCUUCCGGCCAAUUUGACAGAGGUAGGGGAGAUC